rnacentral:rRNA from 1 species
CAGCCGCCGCGGUAAUACGUAGGUGGCAAGCGUUGUCCGGAAUUAUUGGGCGUAAAGCGCGCGCAGGCGGAUCAGUUAGUCUGUCUUAAAAGUUCGGGGCUUAACCCCGUGAGGGGAUGGAAACUGCUGAUCUAGAGUAUCGGAGAGGAAAGUGGAAUUCCUAGUGUAGCGGUGAAAUGCGUAGAUAUUAGGAAGAACACCAGUGGCGAAGGCGAUUUUCUGGACGAAAACUGACGCUGAGGCGCGAAAGCCAGGGGAGCGAACGGGAUUAGAUACCCCGGUAGUCCCUGUCUCUUAUACA